AUUGAACGCUGGCGGCAGGCUUAACACAUGCAAGUCGAGCGGAGAUGAGGUGCUUGCACCUUAUCUUAGCGGCGGACGGGUGAGUAAUGCUUAGGAAUCUGCCUAUUAGUGGGGGACAACAUUCCGAAAGGAAUGCUAAUACCGCAUACGCCCUACGGGGGAAAGCAGGGGAUCUUCGGACCUUGCGCUAAUAGAUGAGACUAAGUCGGAUUAGCUAGUUGGUGGGGUAAAGGCCUACCAAGGCGACGAUCUGUAGCGGGUCUGAGAGGAUGAUCCGCCACACUGGGACUGAGACACGGCCCAGACUCCAACGGGAGGCAGCAGUGGGGAAUAUUGGACAAUGGGCGGAAGCCUGAUCCAGCCAUGCCGCGUGUGUGAAGAAGGCCUUUUGGUUGUAAAGCACUUUAAGCGAGGAGGAGGCUACCUGGAUUAAUACUCUAGGAUAGUGGACGUUACUCGCAGAAUAAGCACCGGCUAACUCUGUGCCAGCCGCCGCAGUAAUAC
rnacentral:rRNA from 1 species